rnacentral:rRNA from 1 species
AUUGAACGCUGGCGGCAGGCUUAACACAUGCAAGUCGAGCGGAGAGAGGUAGCUUGCUACUGAUCUUAGCGGCGGACGGGUGAGUAAUGCUUAGGAAUCUGCCUAUUAGUGGGGGACAACAUUUCGAAAGGAAUGCUAAUACCGCAUACGUCCUACGGGAGAAAGCAGGGGAUCUUCGGACCUUGCGCUAAUAGAUGAGCCUAAGUCGGAUUAGCUAGUUGGUGGGGUAAAGGCCUACCAAGGCGACGAUCUGUAGCGGGUCUGAGAGGAUGAUCCGCCACACUGGGACUGAGACACGGCCCAGACUCCUACGGGAGGCAGCAGUGUGGAAUAUUGGACAAUGGGCGCAAGCCUGAUCCAGCCAUGCCGCGUGUGUGAAGAAGGCCUUAUGGUUGUAAAGCACUUUAAGCGAGGAGGAGGCUACUUUAGUUAAUACCUAGAGAUAGUGGACGUUACUCGCAGAAUAAGCACCGGCUAACUCUGUGCCAGCAGCCGCCGUAAGAC